rnacentral:rRNA from 1 species
GACGAACGCUGGCGGCGUGCUUAACACAUGCAAGUCGAACGGAAAGGCCCUGCUUUUGUGGGGUGCUCGAGUGGCGAACGGGUGAGUAACACGUGAGUAACCUGCCCUUGACUUUGGGAUAACUUCAGGAAACUGGGGCUAAUACCGGAUAGGAGCUCCUGCUGCAUGGUGGGGGUUGGAAAGUUUCGGCGGUUGGGGAUGGACUCGCGGCUUAUCAGCUUGUUGGUGGGGUAGUGGCUUACCAAGGCUUUGACGGGUAGCCGGCCUGAGAGGGUGACCGGCCACAUUGGGACUGAGAUACGGCCCAGACUCCUACGGGAGGCAGCAGUGGGGAAUAUUGCACAAUGGGCGGAAGCCUGAUGCAGCAACGCCGCGUGCGGGAUGACGGCCUUCGGGUUGUAAACCGCUUUCGCCUGUGACGAAGCGUGAGUGACGGUAAUGGGUAAAGAAGCACCGGCUAACUACGUGCCAGCAGCCGCGGUGAUACGUAGGGUGCGAGCGUUGUCCGGAUUUAUUGGGCGUAAAGGGCUCGUAGGUGGUUGAUCGCGUCGGAAGUGUAAUCUUGGGGCUUAACCCUGAGCGUGCUUUCGAUACGGGUUGACUUGAGGAAGGUAGGGGAGAAUGGAAUUCCUGGUGGAGCGGUGGAAUGCGCAGACAUCAGGAGGAACACCAGUGGCGAAGGCGGUUCUCUGGGCCUUUCCUGACGCUGAGGAGCGAAAGCGUGGGGAGCGAACAGGCUUAGAUACCCUGGUAGUCCACGCUGUAAACGGUGGGUACUAGGUGUGGGGUCCAUUCCACGGGUUCCGUGCCGUAGCUAACGCUUUAAGUACCCCGCCUGGGGAGUACGGCCGCAAGGCUAAAACUCAAAGGAAUUGACGGGGCCCCGCACAAGCGGCGGAGCAUGCGGAUUAAUUCGAUGCAACGCGUAGAACCUUACCUGGGUUUGACAUGGAUCGGGAGUGCUCAGAGAUGGGUGUGCCUCUUUUGGGGUCGGUUCACAGGUGGUGCAUGGCCGUCGUCAGCUCGUGUCGUGAGAUGUUGGGUUAAGUCCCGCAACGAGCGCAACCCUUGUUCACUGUUGCCAGCACGUUAUGGUGGGGACUCAGUGGAGACCGCCGGGGUCAACUCGGAGGAAGGUGGGGAUGACGUCAAGUCAUCAUGCCCCUUAUGUCCAGGGCUUCACGCAUGCUACAAUGGCUGGUACAGAGAGUGGCGAGCCUGUGAGGGUGAGCGAAUCUCGGAAAGCCGGUCUCAGUUCGGAUUGGGGUCUGCAACUCGACCUCAUGAAGUCGGAGUCGCUAGUAAUCGCAGAUCAGCAACGCUGCGGUGAAUACGUUCCCGGG